rnacentral:rRNA from 1 species
CAUGCAAGCCGAGCGGUAUUGUUUCUUCGGAAAUGAGAGAGCGGCGUACGGGUGCGGAACACGUGUGCAACCUGCCUUUAUCUGGGGGAUAGCCUUUCGAAAGGGAGAUUAAUACCCCAUAAUAUUUAGAAUGGCAUCAUUUUAAAUUGAAAACUCCGGUGGAUAGAGAUGGGCACGCGCAAGAUUAGAUAGUUGGUGAGGUAACGGCUCACCAAGUCUACGAUCUUUAGGGGGCCUGAGAGGGUGAUCCCCCACACUGGUACUGAGACACGGACCAGACUCCUACGGGAGGCAGCAGUGAGGAAUAUUGGACAAUGGGUGAGAGCCUGAUCCAGCCAUCCCGCGUGAAGGACGACGGCCCUAUGGGUUGUAAACUUCUUUUGUAUAGGGAUAAACCUACCCUCGUGAGGUAGCUGAAGUACUAUACGAAUAA